rnacentral:sRNA from 1 species
UCCUAAGAAGCACUUUCUGCCAGCAUUGUUCAACAAAGGCAGCCUCAGAAGCGGGUGAAUGCCUCAUGAUAAAGUAUGUGACAAAGACUGUGGCUACUGCUGGGGAAGCUGCUGGAGGACCAGGCCAGUGGGAGUUGAGCUAGAUUAUCUCUGAAGCGCCCUGGGAGGAGGAUGAGAUCCGCAGGGACCGAGUGGAACCCCAGAGCGUGUCCCUGUCGUGGCGGGAGCCCAUCCCUGCCGGAGCCCCUGGGGCCAAUGACACGGAGUACGAGAUCCGAUACUACGAGAAGGGUCAGAGUGAGCAGACUUACUCCAUGGUGAAGACAGGGGCGCCCACAGUCACCGUCACCAACCUGAAGCCGGCUACCCGCUACGUCUUUCAGAUCCGGGCCGCUUCCCCGGGGCCAUCCUGGGAGGCCCAGAGUUUUAACCCCAGCAUUGAAGUGCAGACCCUGGGGGAGGCUGCCUCAGGGUCCAGGGACCAGAGCCCCGCCAUUGUCGUCACCGUAGUGACCAUCUCGGCCCUCCUCGUCCUGGGCUCCGUGAUGAGUGUGCUGGCCAUUUGGAGGAGGCCCUGCAGCUAUGGCAAAGGAGGAGGGGAUGCCCAUGAUGAAGAGGAGCUGUAUUUCCACUUCAAAGUCCCAACACGUCGCACAUUCCUGGACCCCCAGAGCUGUGGGGACCCGCUGCAGGCUGUGCAUCUGUUCGCCAAGGAACUGGAUGCGAAAAGCGUCACGCUGGAGAGGAGCCUUGGAGGAGGGCGGUUUGGGGAGCUGUGCUGUGGCUGCUUGCAGCUCCCCGGUCGCCAGGAGCUGCCUGUAGCCGUGCACACGCUGAGGAACAGCGCCUCCGACUCACAGAGGCUCGGCUUCCUGGCCGAGGCCCUCACGCUGGGCCAGUUUGACCAUAGCCACAUCGUGCGGCUGGAGGGCGUUGUUACCCGAGGAAGCACCUUGAUGAUUGUCACCGAGUACAUGAGCCAUGGGGCCCUGGACGGCUUCCUCAGGCGGCACGAGGGGCAGCUGGUGGCUGGGCAACUGAUGGGGUUGCUGCCUGGGCUGGCAUCAGCCAUGAAGUAUCUGUCAGAGAUGGGCUACGUUCACCGGGGCCUGGCAGCUCGCCAUGUGCUGGUCAGCAGCGACCUUGUCUGCAAGAUCUCUGGCUUCGGGCGGGGCCCCCGGGACCGAUCAGAGGCUGUCUACACCACUAUGAGUGGCAGGAGCCCAGCGCUAUGGGCCGCCCCCGAGACACUUCAGUUUGGCCACUUCAGCUCUGCCAGUGACGUGUGGAGCUUCGGCAUCAUCAUGUGGGAGGUGAUGGCCUUUGGGGAGCGGCCUUACUGGGACAUGUCUGGCCAAGACGUGAUCAAGGCUGUGGAGGAUGGCUUCCGGCUGCCACCCCCCAGGAACUGUCCUAACCCUCUGCACCGACUAAUGCUCGACUGCUGGCAGAAGGACCCAGGUGAGCGACCCAGGUUCUCCCAGAUCCACAGCAUCCUGAGCAAGAUGGUGCAGGACCCAGAGCCCCCCAAGUGUGCCCCGACUACCUGUCCCAGGCCUCCCACCCCGCUAGCGGACCGUGCCUUCUCCACCUUCCCCUCCUUUGGCUCUGUGGGCGCGUGGCUGGAGGCCCUGGACCUGUGCCGCUACAAGGACAGCUUUGCGGCUGCUGGCUAUGGGAGCCUGGAGGCCGUGGCCGAGAUGACUGCCCAGGACCUGGUGAGCCUAGGCAUCUCUUCGGCUGAACAUCGAGAGGCCCUCCUCAGCGGGAUCAGCGCCCUGCAGGCACGAGUGCUCCAGCUGCAGGGCCAGGGGGUGCAGGAUAAUAAAAACUUGUCUGUGAUAUGGUGCCUCUUUGAGUGGCAGUUGCUUGAUCAUUGUAUAGCUGGUGUGGAAGGGCUUCUGCCCCCUUCCUCGAGGACAGGGGUGUCCAGAAUCUGCGUCUGAGAUCUCUCUGCAUAGAGGGAUUUACUGUCCCACAGCUCUGGAGGCUGGAAGCCA